UACGUAGGGGGCUAGCGUUGUCCGGAUUUAUUGGGCGUAAAGAGCUCGUAGGCGGUCUGUCGCGUCUGCUGUGAAAACUCAGGGCUUAACCCUGAGCUUGCAGUGGGUACGGGCAGACUAGAGUGCGGUAGGGGAGACUGGAAUUCCUGGUGUAGCGGUGAAAUGCGCAGAUAUCAGGAGGAACACCGAUGGCGAAGGCAGGUCUCUGGGCCACUACUGACGCUGAGAAGCGAAAGCAUGGGGAGCGAACAGG
rnacentral:rRNA from 1 species